rnacentral:rRNA from 1 species
AUGGGGGAGGGCAGCAGCGAGGCCAUCCAGGACGGCGGGGCCCUCUCCGCCCCGUCGGUGGGGACGGAGGCGGUGGCGGCGGUCAGGAAGACGGUGAAGAUGUCCGAGACCCGCGACUUCAUCCCCUGCGCCGCCGUCAGCGAGGGGGAUUAUUCCAGAUCCUCGGGGUCGUCGUCGGCGGCGGCGGCCCUGCCGGACGUCGCCAGCUGCACCGGCUCGUCGGAGGCCGCCCCGCGCGACGACGCGGACGCGGAGAUGCACCACACGCCCGACUACACCCGGAGGGGCGCCGCGGGCCGCCUCAGGAUCGCGCCGCUCGAGCUCUUCUCCGCGGCCCCGUCUUCUCCGGCGGUGCCCUGUCCUCCCGCCAAAGCUGCCGACGCCGAAAACGCCACCGGCGAUGCUGCCGGUGCGGGUGGAGGGACGCAGGAGGAGGCCAUGGGCUGUCAGAUCGCGCACACUGACAAGGGCGAUGAUGGCUGCUGUGGCCAGCUGAGGCAGGAGUACGACUCACUCCUGAGGGAGAAAGGCGAGUGCAGGAGGGUGCUGGAGGAUCUCAUGAGGGAGAAUGAGCUCAAGAACAAGGAGUGCCGCGAGGCUCAGACGUCCCUGCGCGAGCUGCAGAUGGAGCUGAUGCGCAAGUCCAUGCACGUCGGCUCUCUCGCAUUUGCAGUGGAAGGGCAGGUGAAAGAAAAGUCUCGUUGGUGCCAACUACUGAAAGACCUGGGUGAGAAAUUUAAGGCGUUAAAGACAGAGCACCAGAUCUUACUGAAAGAAUCUGAGGAAUACAAAAAGUGUUUGUCAGAUGCUACACAGAUGACUACAACAAUUCAUCAAUAUGUGAGCCAAUAUGCAAGUUUAGAAUCUGAAUUUAAGGACCUGAAAGAGAAGUUCAGCGAGGAAGCAAAGGAACGCAAGGAUCUUUAUAACAAGCUUAUAGAGCUCAAAGGUAAUAUAAGAGUGUUUUGCCGCUGUCGGCCACUAAACACGGAAGAAACAGCAGAAGGAGCUUCAAUGGCGAUCGACUUUGAUUCUGCAAAAGAUGGGGAGCUCAUUGUUAGAGGCCAUGUAUCAUCGAAGAAAGUCUUUAAAUUCGAUUCAGUCUUCAACCCUGAAGAAGACCAAGAGAAAGUGUUUGAGAAAACUGCCCCAUUUGCAACUUCGGUGUUGGAUGGAUUCAAUGUUUGUAUCUUCGCUUACGGGCAAACCGGCACUGGCAAAACAUUUACGAUGGAGGGAACUGAAGGUGCUCGAGGGGUUAACUACAGAAUUCUGGAUGAGCUCUUUCGAGUAGUCAAGGACAGACAUGACCUCUUCCAAUACGAGAUUACUGUUAGUGCCUUGGAAGUAUACAACGAACAAAUUCAUGAUUUGCUCCUGACAGGGUCCCAACCAAGCACAACAACAAAAAGGCUAGAAGUGAGACAAGUUGCAGAAGGAGUUCAUCAUGUACCAGGACUGGUUGAAGCACGAGUCAGUAACAUGGAUGAGGCCUGGGAUGUCCUGCAAACUGGAAGCAAAGCCAGAGUUGUUGGUUCCACAAAUGCUAACGAGCACAGCAGCCGAUCGCACUGUAUACAUUGCGUGAUGGUCAAAGGAGAAAACUUGAUGAAUGGAGAACACACAAACAGUAAGCUGUGGCUCAUUGACCUAGCCGGAAGUGAGCGUGUGGCAAAGACAGAUGCUCAAGGCGAACGACUGAAAGAAGCACAGAAUAUUAACAAGUCCCUUUCUGCACUUGGAGAUGUCAUAUCUGCUCUUGCAACUAAGAGCCAGCACAUACCCUUCAGGAAUUCAAAGUUAACGCACUUGCUGCAAGACUCACUAAGUGGAGACUCCAAAACAUUGAUGUUUGUUCAAAUUAGCCCCAACGAAAAUGACGUGGGCGAAACUCUCUGCUCGCUGAACUUUGCGAGCAGAGUGAGGGGAAUAGAGCUUGGACAGGCUAGGAAACAAGUUGAUGUUGGAGAACUGUCAAGAUAUAAGCUUAUGGUUGGCAGAGCCAAACAGGACUGUAAGAGCAAGGAUGCUCAGAUCAAGAGCAUGGAAGAAACAAUCCAAUCCCUUGAAGCCAAGAACAAGGCAAAGGACCUUCUCACCAUGAAUCUCCAAGAUAAGAUCAAAGAGUUGGAAUCACAGCUGCUGAUUGAGAGGAAGAUAGCGCGGCAGCACGUCGACAACAAGAUCGCCCAAGACGUCGAGCGAAAGCAGCAGCAGCAGCAGCAGCAGCAAAGCCUCAAGGAAGAGAACAACACCUACAUGAGAAGCCCCAUGUCAGAGAGGAACCUCAACACCACCGUGGAGAGACCGCCACUAUCAGCAGCACCCAAAAAAGACCUCGGGAUGGCGAAACAGCCGUUUUCGGACAGCAACAACAGUGAGACCUACAGCUUCAACCAGCUCAUGUCUCUGGCCGAGGAGAAGGAGAACGCCAACCCAGACGCCGCCGCAAAGGCCAGGCGUGUCUCGCUCUGCAACGGAGGGGCUCAGCAGCCCCGCCGCAGCUCGCUCAUCCCGCUGCCGCGCCGCAACUCGCUGAUGCCGCUCCCCGCAGGCGGCGGCGCCAAGACGCCGGCGCCUGCAGCGGCGUCACCCCUUGACAAGAUCAAGGAGUACUCCUCGCCGCCAUUGAGCUCGCCGCCUGUUAUGUCCAACGACAAGGGCGGCAGCAGGAGCAAGAGGAUCAACAGCAUCCUGCGGCGCAGCCUGCAGAAGAAGGUGGUCAUCCGGCCGGCGCCGUCGGGGCAGGGCGGGAGGAGGGCCGGUGCCGGCGCCACUGCCGCCGCCGCACAGGGUAUCGACAGCGCUCGCCGGGCGGCCGCGCGGCGCGUGCCGGCGAGCGGCGGCCCCGGCGGCGGUGCGCCCAGGGGCGGCGUCCACCAGAACAGGGACAAGGAGAGAGGCUGGAACCACUGA